UGGAUCCAGACUUUGAUUCUGGCUCAGGAUGAACGCUGGCGGCGUGCCUAACACAUGCAAGUCGAACGGAACUGUAUGAAACCUAGUGAUUACAGUUUAGUGGCGGACGGGUGAGUAACGCGUGGGUAACCUGCCGUAUACAGGGGGAUAACACCUGGAAACAGGUGCUAAUACCGCAUAAGCGCACAGCUUUGCAUGAAGCAGUGUGAAAAACCGAGAUGGUAUACGAUGGACCCGCGUCUGAUUAGCUGGUUGGAGGGGUAACGGCCCACCAAGGCGACGAUCAGUAGCCGGCCUGAGAGGGUGAACGGCCACAUUGGGACUGAGACACGGCCCAAACUCCUACGGGAGGCAGCAGUGGGGAAUAUUGCACAAUGGGGGAAACCCUGAUGCAGCGACGCCGCGUGAGUGAAGAAGUAUUUCGGUAUGUAAAGCUCUAUCAGCAGGGAAGAAAAUGACGGUACCUGACUAAGAAGCCCCGGCUAACUACGUGCCAGCAGCCGCGGUAAUACGUAGGGGGCAAGCGUUAUCCGGAUUUACUGGGUGUAAAGGGAGCGUAGACGGUAAGGCAAGUCUGAAGUGAAAGGCGGGGGCUCAACCCCCGGACUGCUUUGGAAACUGCGGUACUGGAGUGCAGGAGAGGUAAGUGGAAUUCCUAGUGUAGCGGUGAAAUGCGUAGAUAUUAGGAGGAACACCAGUGGCGAAGGCGGCUUACUGGACUAUAACUGACGUUGAGGCUCGAAAGCGUGGGGAGCAAACAGGAUUAGAUACCCUGGUAGUCCACGCGGUAAACGGUGAUUACUAGGUGUCGGUGGGUACAGACCCAUCGGUGCCGCGGCAAACGCAAUAAGUAAUCCACUCUGGGGAGUACGUUCGCAAGAAUGCAACUCAAAUGAAUUGACGGA
rnacentral:rRNA from 1 species